rnacentral:rRNA from 1 species
UAGAGUUUGAUCCUGGCUCAGAUUGAACGCUAGCGGCAUGCUUUACACAUGCAAGUCGAACGGCAGCGCGGGGCAACCUGGCGGCGAGUGGCGAACGGGUGAGUAAUACAUCGGAACGUGCCCUGUGAUGGGGGAUAACUACGCGAAAGCGUAGCUAAUACCGCAUACGACCUAAGGGUGAAAGUGGGGGAUCGCAAGACCUCACGUCAUAGGAGCGGCCGAUGGCGGAUUAGCCAGUUGGUGGGGUAAAGGCUUACCAAGGCGACGAUCCGUAGCUGGUCUGAGAGGACGACCAGCCACACUGGGACUGAGACACGGCCCAGACUCCUACGGGAGGCAGCAGUGGGGAAUCUUGGACAAUGGGCGCAAGCCUGAUCCAGCAAUGCCGCGUGUGGGAUGAAGGCCCUCGGGUUGUAAACCACUUUUGGCGGGGGCGAAAUAUCGAGUGCUAAUACCAUUCGGUGAUGACGGUACCCGCAGAAUAAGCACCGGCUAACUACGUGCCAGCAGCCGCGGUAAUACGUAGGGUGCGAGCGUUAAUCGGAAUUACUGGGCGUAAAGCGUGCGCAGGCGGUUUGGUAAGACAGAUGUGAAAUUCCCGGGCUCAACCUGGGAACA